UCAAUUUCGUCAGUUGUCCAGGAAACUGCGAGGAAAGGCUCAAGACCAUCAAUAGUCCGGGAAUCUGGAAGUGAAGAUUUAAAGACUUGUGAAGUAAAUGUAGCUAAAAAGAAGAAAGGAGUCAGUUCAGCUGUAAACUGGAACCUGUGAAAAAGGGAUCAAGUUCCAACUGAGAUCUGUGAAAAAGAGAUCAAAUUCAAUAGUAGCUUGGUGGCCAGGUGUAUGGCGAGGUACAACAUUUCUGUGAAUGGCCCAAUGUUGAGCAUUAAAAACCUGUAACAUGUAUCCUGACAUGUCUGACAACCUAACUUCCUUCAAAAUUACAAACAGGAAACCCUCAAAACUAUAUGAGUGAUAUUUUAAAGUGGGAUUUUGUAAAUUCUUCCAUUUCUUGGAAGCAAACAGUCCACUGCUGCAGCCUGGGAUCUGUGUGUAGGUGUACCAUGACAAUGCAUACUUAUGUCCCAAUUCCACUUACAUU